ensembl:lncRNA
GGCGGGUGGGGAAAUAGUCAGAAAUAGAAUGGCACUUCAAGUACCUUGAGAACUAUUAUUAAUGUUCUGACUCACAAUCAAAGGCCACAAAGAAUAACAGCUCCAAUUCUGAAUAACAGUUAAAAUCCUAGAACAGGGGUAAAGGACGAAGCAAAUGAAUGGAAUUUUCUAAACAACCCAAAAGGGGAAAGAGAGAGGGAGAACCUGGAGAAUCCUGUCAGUAGUAGAAAUCAGAAAAUAACCGGCAUUCAUCAGAUUUAAUUUCUGCAAACCAACCAGUGUCCUGGAAAUCAGACAUUUACUCAGCAACUCUGUGGGCUAUUGUGCAGAGAUGCUACCUGGUGUAUGUCUGGAAGAUAGCAGAUUGUGGAUCCCAGGGUGACAUUGCUGUGACAGGCUGACAUUGCUGUGGGCAGGAACUAGAGGGAGAACAAUCUAAGAGACCUGAUUCUCAUCAGAAAGAGAAUCUGCUAUAAUCCUCAUCUUGAGAAUGUAUAAUCUCUAAUCCUCAUCUUAGACUCACCUCUACCUGAUGACUUACCGGUAAGCAAUAACAUGUGACUGAAAUAGAGGUCUUGGAGCAGCCAGGCGUUUUCCAUGGUGGGUUUGUUAAAAUCAAUAUCACAUUUAUUUAGAUAAGAAUACCAAGUCAUACAGAAUGUUCUCCCUGGCAAACCGGGUUGAGAUGGGAAAG